GGGUCAGUAGGUUGGUCGUGCCACCGGUACGUACUGGUCUCACUGAUUCCUCCUUCCUGAAGAACCGUAAUGCCAUUAAUUUGGUGUUGCGGGGAAACAGGACUGUUACUUUGAAAAAAUUAGAGUGUUUAAAGCAAGCUAACGCUUAAAUACAUUAGCAUGGAAUAAUGAAAUAGGACGAUCGACCCUAUUUUGUUGGUUUCUAGGAUUGACGUA
rnacentral:rRNA from 1 species